rnacentral:sRNA from 2 species
AACUAGCCCUGAUUGCAACGGAAAUCCUGGCAUUGCGUGCGAAAAAUUUCAACGGAUUGCUUCUUUUCUCGCAAUGACAGAUUGCAGUGGAAAGCAGGUUCCCGG